rnacentral:rRNA from 1 species
UACGAAGGGGGCUAGCGUUGUUCGGAAUUACUGGGCGUAAAGCGCACGUAGGCGGAUUUGUAAGUCAGGGGUGAAAUCCCGGGGCUCAACCUCGGAACUGCCUUUGAUACUGCAAGUCUUGAGUCCGAUAGAGGUGAGUGGAAUUCCUAGUGUAGAGGUGAAAUUCGUAGAUAUUAGGAAGAACACCAGUGGCGAAGGCGGCUUACUGGUCCGGUUCUGACGCUGAGGCGCGAAAGCGUGGGGAGCAAACAGG